rnacentral:rRNA from 1 species
UACAGAGGUCCCAAGCGUUGUUCGGAUUCACUGGGCGUAAAGGGUGCGUAGGUGGUGAAGUAAGUCGGAUGUGAAAUCUCGGAGCUCAACUCCGAAACUGCAUUGGAAACUACUUUGCUCGAGGGUUGGAGGGGGGGGACUGGAAUUCUCGGUGUAGCAGUGAAAUGCGUAGAUAUCGAGAGGAACACCAGUGGCGAAGGCGAGUCCCUGGACAACUCCUGACACUGAGGCACGAAAGCUAGGGGAGCAAACAGG